GCCUUCAUGGUGUAGUGGUCAGCACGCUCGACGUGUAUUCGAGAGGCCAGUGGUUCGAGUCCCGGCGAGGGCA
rfam:Stegodyphus mimosarum contig125293, whole genome shotgun sequence.